rnacentral:ncRNA from 1 species
CAAAGGCUUGGUCCUGACUUUACUAUCAGCUUUAGCUCGAUUUACACAUGCAAGUCUCCGCAGCCCCGUGAGAAUGCCCUUAAUCCCCCGCCCGGGGACGAGGAGCAGGCAUCAGGCACAAAAUUUAGCCCAAGACGCCUUGCCAGGCCACACCCCCAAGGGAAUUCAGCAGUGAUAAAUAUUAAGCCAUAAGUGAAAACUUGACUUAGUUAAGGCUAAGAGGGCCGGUAAAACUCGUGCCAGCCACCGCGGUUAUACGAGAGGCCCUAGUUGAUAGGCACGGCGUAAAGGGUGGUUAAGGGAGUACACAAAUAAAGCCGAAGGACCCUCUGGCCGUUAUACGCUUCUGGACGCCCGAAGCCCAAAUACGAAAGUAGCUUUAAUUUAGCCCACCUGACCCCACGAAAACUGAGAAACAAACUGGGAUUAGAUACCCCACUAUGCUCAGUCAUAAACCCAGAUGUCAAAUUACAAUAGACAUUCGCCCGGGUACUACGAGCGUCAGCUUGAAACCCAAAGGACUUGGCGGUGCCUUAGACCCCCCUAGAGGAGCCUGUUCUAGAACCGAUAAUCCCCGUUAAACCUCACCACUUCUAGUCAUUCCCGCCUAUAUACCGCCGUCGUCAGCUUACCCUGUGAGGGACUAACAGUAAGCGAAAUGGGCACAACCCAAAACGUCAGGUCGAGGUGUAGCGAACGAAGUGGAAAGAAAUGGGCUACAUUUUCUAUCCCAGAAUAAUACGAACAGCACUAUGAAAAAAUGCUCGAAGGAGGAUUUAGUAGUAAAAAGGAAGCAGAGUGUCCUUUUGAACCCGGCUCUGAGGCGCGUACACACCGCCCGUCACUCUCCCCUGUUAAAUUGCGCCAACUGUAAUUAACCUGAAAGCACCAACGAGGGGA